rnacentral:rRNA from 1 species
UACGUAGGGUCCGAGCGUUGUCCGGAAUUAUUGGGCGUAAAGGGCUCGUAGGCGGUUUGUCGCGUCGGGAGUGAAAACACGGGGCUUAACCCCGUGCCUGCUUCCGAUACGGGCAGACUAGAGGUAUGCAGGGGAGAACGGAAUUCCUGGUGUAGCGGUGAAAUGCGCAGAUAUCAGGAGGAACACCGGUGGCGAAGGCGGCAUCCUGGACCACGACUGACGCUGAGGAGCGAAAGCCAGGGGAGCAAACGGG